rnacentral:rRNA from 1 species
CCUACGGGUGGCAGCAGUCGAGAAUCAUUCACAAUGGGGGAAACCCUGAUGGUGCGACGCCGCGUGGGGGAAUGAAGGUCUUCGGAUUGUAAACCCCUGUCAUGUGGGAGCAAAUUAAAAAGAUAGUACCACAAGAGGAAGAGAAGGCUAACUCUGUGCCAGCAGCCGCGGUAAUACAUAGGUCUCAAGCGUUGUUCGGAAUCACUGGGUGUAAAGCGUGCGUAGGCUGUUUCGUAAGUCGUGUGUGAAAGGCGAGGGCUCAACCCGCGGACGGCAUAUGAUACUGCGAGACUAGAGUAAUGGAGGGGGAACCGGAAUUCUCGGUGUAGCAGUGAAAUGCGUAGAUAUCGAGAGGAACACUAGUGGCGAAGGCGGGUUCCUGGACAUUAACUGACGCUGAGGCACGAAGGCCAGGGGAGCGAAAGGGAUUAGAUACCCGUGUAGUC